UACGGAGGGUGCAAGCGUUAUCCGGAUUUACUGGGUUUAAAGGGUGCGUAGGUGGGUAGGUAAGUCAGUGGUGAAAUCUUCAAGCUUAACUUGGAAACUGCCAUUGAUACUAUUUAUCUUGAAUACUUUGGAGGUAAGCGGAAUAUGUAGUGUAGCGGUGAAAUGCUUAGAGAUUACAUGGAAUACCAAUUGCGAAGGCAGGUUACUACCAAUAUAUUGACGCUGAUGGACGAAAGCGUGGGGAGCGAACAGG
rnacentral:rRNA from 1 species